CACAGCACCCAUCAGGGUCCACGUGUCGGGGCCCAGUGUCAGGGCCAUGGGCUGCGCCGUCCUCUCUGCCUUGUCUCUCCUCAGCCACAAAUGCCUCCACCUGCCUUGUUAACCACGCUGUCCUGUGUGAGGCCGUGGCUGCCCUAGCCAGGCUGUGCAGCAGUUCCAGCAGUUCCUUACCUGCUGCCUUCAGUGUGACAAGUGUGCACAGAGUACCUGUACCAGCACACCUGUUCUGUCGUCCCAUCAGCAGAGCAGAGAACUGCAGGUUCUGUGGUGAUGAGUGGGCCUCCCAUCCUGAGCUCAGCAGGGCAAUUCCAUGGAGCAGGGCCAUACCAGGCUGGAGCUGUGAUGUUACAGCUCAUCUCAGUGGGCUUGAAUGAGAGACUGAGGCCGAGAGGAGCUGCCCAGUUGUCCUGGUUUAUGUGGAAAACUAGUGCCAGGACAGUGGAGUGCUGUCUGAUGUGCAUGAACAACCCAGAAGCUGAGUGUGUGAUGUGGGAGCCCAUGUGGCGUGUCUGCAUCUAGCGCUCCUGUCCCUGUGCUUGCUCUGCAAAGAGGACUGCUGCUGGCUCCUUGCAGAGAAAAGGUCCCUGAGCAUGGAAGAUGGAGGCUGAGGGGCUUAUGCACUCCCGGAAGUGACUGCCGUGAGAGGUGGUGCUGGGCCCUCUGCCUGGGUAGGCAUGCGGAGCCACACUGGGUGCUGAGCUGCUCCGGAUGUCCUGUCCCUCAUCCUGAGGCCCCGGCCUCUGUUUCCUUCCCGGCUCGCUGGCCUACCCUGUGUGCAGGAGUCUGGAUAGGGCUGGGCAGCCUCUGGAAGUCUGUGACUUCCUGCCAGGAAAGUGAAACAAAACAGAAACAGGAGCUCUGUGUUCGCUCCUCCCCCCAGUGCUUAUCUGCUGGGCGCCUGAAGUGCGGCCCUGCUCCUGCAGCCCUGGUGCAGUUGUGGGGCACUGUGUGCGAGCAGGGAAGAUGUCCCCAGUGCUGGGGAGGACAGACACUGCCCAGGACAAGUGUCAGAGGACAGGGUGGCGAGCCCAGGCUGCAGGGGCUGGGCUUCUUGGAGAACAGAGGUGAAGUUCAGACCCAGAGGCCCUGGCCCUGCUCACUGCCCUGCUUGCUUUUGCUGUGGGGUUUGGUGUUCCCUAAUGGGAGAAGGGAUUUGGUGGCGGAGCAGCAGUUUCCACAUGGUACCAUGUCAUGUCAUGUACCGAGACACAUCUGCUAGCAUGUUCCUGGAGGAGUACCCAUGCAUAGGCUGCCUCUGCUGUAAAUGUAGUGCCUGGCGACCCCCCAAUGUAUUCUUGCAUGUGUCCCCUCCCAUGUUGCAGUGACUAUCCUGUGCUCUG